GACAAUUUAACAAACAUUUGGAUG
rnacentral:siRNA from 1 species